AUUCCUUGUCGGGUAAGUUCCGACCUGCACGAAUGGUGUAACCAUGGCCACGCUGUCUCCACCCGAGACUCAGUGAAAUUGAAAUCGCAGUGAAGAUGCUGUGUACCCGCACCUAGACGGAAAGACCCCGUGAACCUUUACUACAGCUUGGCACUGAACAUUGAACCUACAUGUGUAGGAUAGGUGGGAGGCUUUGAAGCACAGUCGCUAGAUUGUGUGGAGCCGUCCUUGAAAUACCACCCUUGUAUGUUUGAUGUUCUAACAUUGGUCCCUUAUCGGGAUUGUGGACAGUGUCUGGUGGGUAGUUUGACUGGGGCGGUCUCCUCCCAAAUAGUAACGGAGGAGCACGAAGGUUAGCUAAUCACGGUCGGACAUCGUGAGGUUAGUGCAAUGGCAUAAGCUAGCUUAACUGCGAGACAGACACGUCGAGCAGGUACGAAAGUAGGUCAUAGUGAUCCGGUGGUUCUGUAUGGAAGGGCCAUCGCUCAACGGAUAAAAGGUACUCCGGGGAUAACAGGCUGAUACCGCCCAAGAGUUCAUAUCGACGGCGGUGUUUGGCACCUCGAUGUCGGCUCAUCUCAUCCUGGGGCUGGAGCAGGUCCCAAGGGUUUGGCUGUUCGCCAAUUAAAGCGGUACGUGAGCUGGGUUUAGAACGUCGUGAGACAGUUCGGUCCCUAUCUACUGUA
rnacentral:rRNA from 1 species